GACGAACGCUGGCGGCAUGCCUUACACAUGCAAGUCGAACGGCAGCACGGGUGCUUGCACCUGGUGGCGAGUGGCGAACGGGUGAGUAACACGUGAGUAACCUGCCCUUGACUCUGGGAUAACUGCGGGAAACUGUAGCUAAUACCGGAUACGACCCUCGGAGGCAUCUCCUGGGGGUGGAAAGAAUUUCGGUCAAGGAUGGACUCGCGGCCUAUCAGCUAGUUGGCGAGGUAAAGGCUCACCAAGGCGACGACGGGUAGCCGGCCUGAGAGGGUGACCGGCCACACUGGGACUGAGACACGGCCCAGACUCCUACGGGAGGCAGCAGUGGGGAAUAUUGCACAAUGGGCGCAAGCCUGAUGCAGCAACGCCGCGUGAGGGAUGACGGCCUUCGGGUUGUAAACCUCUUUUAGCAGGGAAGAAGCGAAAGUGACGGUACCUGCAGAAAAAGCACCGGCUAACUACGUGCCAGCAGCCGCGGUAA
rnacentral:rRNA from 1 species